rnacentral:rRNA from 1 species
GAUGAACGCUGGCGGCGUGCCUAAUACAUGCAAGUCGAGCGAACGGACGAGAAGCUUGCUUCUCUGAUGUUAGCGGCGGACGGGUGAGUAACACGUGGAUAACCUACCUAUAAGACUGGGAUAACUUCGGGAAACCGGAGCUAAUACCGGAUAAUAUUUUGAACCGCAUGGUUCAAAAGUGAAAGACGGUCUUGCUGUCACUUAUAGAUGGAUCCGCGCUGCAUUAGCUGGUUGGUAAGGUAACGGCUUACCAAGGCAACGAUGCAUAGCCGACCUGAGAGGGUGAUCGGCCACACUGGAACUGAGACACGGUCCAGACUCCUACGGGAGGCAGCAGUAGGGAAUCUUCCGCAAUGGGCGAAAGCCUGACGGAGCAACGCCGCGUGAGUGAUGAAGGUCUUCGGAUCGUAAAACUCUGUUAUUAGGGAAGAACAUAUGUGUAAGAAACUGUGCACAUCUUGACGGUACCUAAUCAGAAAGCCACGGCUAACUACGUG